rnacentral:rRNA from 1 species
UACGGAGGGUGCGAGCGUUAAUCGGAAUUACUGGGCGUAAAGCGCGCGUAGGCGGCCCGGUAAGUCUGGCGUGAAAGCCCCGGGCUCAACCUGGGAACUGCGUCGGAUACUGCCGGGCUGGAGUGUGGGAGAGGGCAGUGGAAUUUCCGGUGUAGCAGUGAAAUGCGUAGAGAUCGGAAGGAACACCAGUGGCGAAGGCGGCUGCCUGGACCAACACUGACGCUGAGGCGCGAAAGCGUGGGGAG